GGGGCCAACUACCAUUGCACCGUGGACCUCCCAGACACCACUGGACUGAGCUGGAGGGAAGAGAUCCUCCGGUGUCUGAAGAGUUCCGCCCCACUGGAUUC